rnacentral:lncRNA from 1 species
AUUUUACAUUCUUCAAAACAAGGCAAGCUAACAAUAAAUAAUACUUGCAAAUAUUCAGGCCCAUCCACAUGAAUUCAAAUUUAGGUUGUAGUAUAAGUUUAACUUGAUGGUAUCAUAAUGGCCUCAGUGAAAAUGGCCUGAACACAGAGGGCCUAAAGCAGGUCAUGUAAUACCAAGCCUUCAAUGAAGUGGUGAUCUUCAGAGGCCCCUCCUCGUGCCUGUCGAAUGUAGAUGUCUACCUGGAUGGACACCCUACCAACACUGUACAGGGCAAUGGAGAGGUCAUCUCCACCCCAUGGCCAGCACACCAUAUACAGCUGCAGCAGCUGGGACUUCAUGAUCCACACCAACGUGCAAGCCAUCGGGGUUACAUCCAUCUGCCCCUGGCUCUCAUUCUGUCAGAUGGAGAUCCCCGCAGUGGUCUAGCUGAAGACUAUGCUGUCACACUGCACGGCUGUCUUUUGAUGGACAGAAGGGACAGGAAAUGUGCCAUGGAGACAGCAUCAGCAUCACAACCUCCUGAUACCAGCUGUCCUCUUUCUGAGUUUGCACCCCGUGACGGACUGUAUUGAGAACAUGACCCAG